AUGGUGUUACACAAUUUGUACUGUUAUGUCCCAUCUCCCACUUCCAAACGCAAGUCAGAUUCAAGCUGGCUCCAACAGGGACCCGCCAUCAGUCUAGGUGCUUUCCCUAAGUCGUGCCUAACUACCUCCAGGUCUCCCGGCUCUAAGGUGAAGGCAGCUUCUCAUGUACAGUCAACACUAGUGAACAAACACUGGGGAGAGAAAAAAAGAGAGGCAGAAACGUGGAAAUGUAGGUUAGAUGGUCAUUCUUCUCUCAAAUGUCUUAAAUGUCUCAUUCAGUAUGUAUUCAACAUCCACUAUGUGCCCGGCACUCUGCUAAAGUACUGGGGACACAUCAGUGGGUUAAAGGUGAUGAAAAUGCUAUGGAAAAUUGGGAAACGGGGGAGGAAUGUUUAGAAAUUUGAAUAGGUUAUAGUAGGCUUCACUGAAGUGACGUCGAACAAAAUCUUGAAGAAGGUGAGUGUGACCACCUUCAGGGGAUGAGCACUGCAUAGAUAGAACAGUAAGGGAAAAGGCCCGGAGGCUGGUUCAUGUCUGGAGAACUACAGUAACAGCAAUGCUGGUGGUAGCAGGUGGUAGCAUGUGGCCAAAUGUGUAGGGCUUUAGAGGUCAUUAUUAUAAGGACUUUGGCUUUUACCUGGAAUGGGUGGGGAGCCCUCCAGGGGGCAUCUAGCGUAAAAGUUAUCACGACCUGACUUUAUUAACAGCAUCACUUUGAUUAUUGUGCUGAGAACAGCCUGUAGGGAGUCAAGGAGGGUGGUAAGGUUAAGAAAGAGUGGUGGUUUGAAUUGGGGGGGAUAGCAAAUUUGGUGAGAAGUGUCUAGAUUCUGGAUAUAUUUUUAAUAGCCCUUUGGAUUUGCUGAGAGAUGGGGUGUGAGAUACAGGAGAAAGUAAAUUGUGAAGGACAAUUCAAAUGGUUGACCCAAACAUUGGAAGGAUAGAAUAUCCGUUUAAUUUACCAGGAUGGACAAUCUGGGAAAGGAACAAAUCUGGGGGUGGGGGGGAACAAGAUCAGGAGUGUAAUUUGGAAUACGUUGAGGUCCAGAUGUCCUUUAGAUAACCAGGCAGAUAUAUUGGAUAGGAGUUUGCUACUGGCAUCUGGAGCCCAGGAAAGGGCAUCAUCAGCCAAUAGGUAGGCUCUGAGAGCCCCAAGAUUCCAUGAAAAUAACGGGGAUAGAAAAGAGCCCUGGGCCACUCAAACAUUAAAGGUCUGUGGGAAGAGGAGAAACUAGAGAAGUUGCAUAAAGACCGAGGAGGCCGGAAGAGGUCAGUAGGAAAACCACAGGCAUGUGCUGUCCUGGAGGACAAAUGAUGAAAGAUUUCAGGGAGGGGAGAGUCAUCAGCUCCAUCAAAUCAAGUUGAGAUCAGGCCAGAGAAUGAGCACUGAAGGUCACCUUGAUAAGUCUGCUUGGAUGCAAUGGUGAGGCCAAAAAUGCCACGUGGUGGGCUCUGCAGUGGGGAUAAGAACUGGAGACGGGGCACAGACAACUCUGAGGGAAACACAGACACAGUGAGGGAAAUAAAGUCAAGCGAGGUGUUCUUGUUUUGUUUUUU
ensembl:lncRNA